GGUUAAGCGACUAAGCGUACACGGUGGAUGCCCCGGCAGUCAGAGGCGAUGAAGGACGUGCUAAUCUGCGAUAAGGCCGGCAGAUAUGAACCGUUAUAACGCACAUUUCCGAAUGGGGAAACCAGUGUGAUUCGUCACACUAUCAUUAAUCGAAUCCAUAGGUUAAUGAGGCGAACCGGGGGAACUGAAACAUCUGGUACCCCGAGGAAGAAAUCAACCGAGAUUCCCAGUAGCGGCGAGCGAACGGGGGAGCAGCCCAGAGCCUGCCAGAAUCAGUGUGUGUGUGUUAGUAGCGUUCGAAAGGCGCGCGCGAUACAGGGUGAUGUUCUGCACAUAAAAACACAUGCUGUGAGCUCGAUGAGUAGGGCGGGACACGUGGUAUCCUGUCUGAAUAUGGGGGACCAUCCUCCAAGGCUAAAUAAUCUCUGACUGACCAUACUAAACCAGUACCGCAGGUGCGAAAAGAAACCCCGGCGAGGGGAGGAAAGAACCGAAACGUGUACGUACAAGAGUGGGAGCAUCGCUGAGCGGUGACUGCGCACCUUUUGUAUAAUGGGUCAGCGACUUAUAUUCUGUAGCAAGGUUAACCGAAUAGGUUUUCAAGGGAAACCGAGUCUUAACUGCGCGUUGCAGGGUAUAGACCUCGAAACCCGGUGAUUCAGCCUAUGGGCAGGUUGAAGGUUGGGUAACACUAACUGGAGACCGGAACCGAUCAAUGUUGAAAAAUUGUGCUGGAUGACUUGUGGCUGGGGGUGAAAGCGUCAAUCAAACCGGGAGAUAGCUGUUCCUCCCCGAAAGCUUUAGGUAGCGCCUCGUGAAUUCCAUCUCCGGGGAGAUAACCAGCUUCGGCAAGGGGUCAUCCUGACUUACCAACCCGAUGCAAACUGCGAAUACCGGAGAAUGUUAUCACCGGGACACACGGCGGGUGCUAACGUCCGUCGUGAAGAGGGAAAACAACCCAGACCGCCAGCUAAGGUCCCAAAGUCAUGGUUAAGGGAAAACGAUGUGGGAAGGCCCAGACAGCCGAUGUUGGCUUAGAAGCAGCCAUCAUUUAAAGAGUGCAAUAGCUCACUGGUCGAGUCGGCCCGCGCGGAAGAUGUAACGGGCUAAACCAUGCACCGAAGUUGCAAGCAGCACGCUAUGCGUUGUUGCAGGGUUGCCCUGCAAGCCCGUGAAGGUGUGCGCGCUGGGGAGGCAUGCUGGAGGUAUCAGAAGUGCGAAUGCCGAUAAGUAACGAUAAGCGGGUGAAAAGCCCGCUCGCCGAAAGACCAAGGGUUCCUGUCCAACGUUAAUCGGGGCAGGUGAGUCGACCCUAAGGCGAGGCCGAAAGGCGUAGUCGAUGGAAACAGGUUAAUAUUCCUGUACUGGUGUUACCGCGAAGGGGGGACGGGAGAGCAUAUGUUGACCGGGCGACGGUUGUCCCGGUUUAAGCGUGUAGGCUGGUUUUCCAGCAAACUGGAAAAAUCAAGGCUGAGGCGUGAUGACGAGGCACUACGGUGCUGAAGCAACAAAUGCCCUAAGCCUCAGAAAGCCUCUAAGCAUCAGGUAACAUCAAAUCGUACCUCAAACCGACACAGGUGGUCAGGUAUCGAGAAUACUAAGGCGCUUGAGAGAACUCGGGUGAAGGAACUAGCAAAAAAUGGUGCCGUAACUUCGGGAGAAGGCACGUUGAUAUGUAGGUGAAGUCCUGCGGAUGGAGCUGAAAUCAGUCGAAGAUACCAGCUGGCUGCAACUGUUUAUUAAAAACACAGCACUGUGCAAACACGAAAGUGGACGUAUACGGUGUGACGCCUGCCUGCGCCGGAAGGUUAAUUGAUGGGGUCAGCGCAAGCGAAGCUCUUGAUCGAAGCCCCCGGUAAACGGCGGCCGUAACUAUAACGGUCCAUGGUGGAAGGAAAUCUUUGUCGGUAAGUUCCGGACCUGCAAUGAAUGGCGUAAUGAUGGCUUCGUGCUGUUCCACCCGAGACUCACAGUGAAAUUGAACUGCUGUGAAGAUGCAGUGUACCCGCGGCAAGACGGAAAGACCCUGUGAACCUUACUAUAGCUUGACACCGAACAUUGAGCCUUGAUGUAGGGAUAGGUGGAGGCUUUUAAGUGUGGACGCCAGUCUGCAUGGAGCCGACCUUGAAAUACUCGUCUUUAAUGUUUGAUGUUCUAACGUUGACCCGUAAUCCGCUGCGGACAGUGUCUGGUGGGUAGUUUGACUGGGGCGGCCUCCUCCUAAAGAGUAACGGAGGAGCACGAAGGUUGGCUAACUCGUCGGACAUCAGGAGGUUAGGCAAUGGCAUAAGCCAGCUUGACCGCGAGCGUGACGGCGCGAGCAGGUGCGAAAGCAGGUCAUAGUGAUCCCGGUGGUCUAGUUUCGGAAGGGCCAUCGCUCAACGGAUAAAAGGUACCUGGGAUAACAGGCUGAUACCGCCCAAGAGUUCAUAUCGACGGCGGUGUUUGCACCUCGAUGUCGGCUCAUCACAUCCUGGCUGGCGGUAGGUCCUAGCGGUGCGCUGUUCGCCAUUAAAGUGGUACGCGAGCUGGCUGAACGUCGCGGGAGAAGGCUGGUCCCUAUUCGCCGUGGGCGCUGGAGAACUGAGGGGGGCUGCUCCUAGUACGAGAGGACCGGAGUGGACGCAUCACUGGUGUUCGGGUUGUCAUGCCAAUGGCACUGCCCGGUAGCUAAAUGCGGAAGAGAUAAGUGCUGAAAGCAUCUAAGCACGAAACUUGCCCCGAGAUGAGUUCUCCCUGACUCCUUGAGAGUCCUGAAGGAACGUUGAAGACGACGACGUUGAUAGGCCGGGUGUGUAAGCGCAGCGAUGCGUUGAGCUAACCGGUACUAAUGAACCGUGAGGCUUAACCUU
rnacentral:rRNA from 1 species